GUCCACGCCCUAAACUAUGUCAACUAGUUGUCGGGGAAGAAAUUCCUUGGUAACGAAGCUAACGCGUGAAGUUGACCGCCUGGGGAGUACGGCCGCAAGGUUAAAACUCAAAGGAAUUGACGGGGACCCGCACAAGCGGUGGAUUAUGUGGAUUAAUUCGAUGCAACGCGAAAAACCUUACCUACCCUUGACAUGCUAGGAAGUCCGCAGAGAUGUGGACGUGCCCGAAAGGGAACCUAGACACAGGUGCUGCAUGGCUGUCGU
rnacentral:rRNA from 1 species